UUUCGAUGGUAAUGUAGUGGAUUACCAUGGUGAUGACGGGUAACGGGGAAUUAGGGUUUGAUUCCGGAGAAAAGGCCUGAGAGACGGCCAUUACUUCUAAGGAAGGCAGCAGGCGCGUAAAUUACCCAAUCCUAAUACGGGGAGGUAGUGACAAGAAAUAUUGAUAUUGGACCCAAAGGGUACAAUGAUUGAAAUGAGAACAAUAUAAAAAACUUAACGACUAACAAUUGGAGGGCAAGUCUGGUGCCAGCAGCCGCGGUAAUUCCAGCUCCAAGAGUGUAUAUUAAAAGUUGUUGCGGUUAAAAAGCUCGUAGUUGAAUUUCUGAAAAUAAUCUUGUGAUUGAUUUAACCGUCAUGAACAAAAAUUAGUUUACAUACUUGAUAGAUGGAACAUUUAUCUUAAUGACUUUGU
rnacentral:rRNA from 1 species